GGAAGUAGCUCAGCUUGGUAGAGCACAUGGUUUGGGACCAUGGGGUCGCAGGUUCGAAUCCUGUCUUCCGCCA
rnacentral:tRNA from 1 species